UCCCUGAUGGCUCAGUGGUAAAAGAAUCUGCCCGCAAUGCAGGAGACCCAGGUUUGAUCCCUGGGUUGGGAG
rnacentral:tRNA from 1 species